rnacentral:snRNA from 1 species
AUUUUAAUAUAUAUAUUAAAAUUGGAACAAUACAGAGAAGACUAGCAUGGCCCCUAUGCGGAAAUGACAUGCGAAUUCAUGAAGCAUUUAUUUUU